CCUACGGGAGGCAGCAGUGGGGAAUAUUGGACAAUGGGCGAAAGCCUGAUCCAGCAAUGCCGCGUGAGUGAUGAAGGCCUUAGGGUUGUAAAGCUCUUUUACCAGGGAUGAUAAUGACAGUACCUGGAGAAUAAGCUCCGGCUAACUCCGUGCCAGCAGCCGCGGUAAUACGGAGGGAGCUAGCGUUGUUCGGAAUUACUGGGCGUAAAGCGUACGUAGGCGGUUAUUCAAGUCAGAGGUGAAAGCCUGGAGCUCAACUCCAGAACUGCCUUUGAAACUAGAUAGCUAGAAUCUUGGAGAGGUGAGUGGAAUUCCGAGUGUAGAGGUGAAAUUCGUAGAUAUUCGGAAGAACACCAGUGGCGAAGGCGACUCACUGGACAAGUAUUGACGCUGAGGUACGAAAGCGUGGGGAGCAAACAGGAUUAGAUACCCUGGUAGUCCACGCCGUAAACGAUGAUAACUAGCUGUUCGGGCUCUACGAGCUUAGUAGUGGCGCAGCUACGACAUUAAGUUAUCCGUCCGUCGGGAGGUACGGUCGCGAGAAUUAAACUAACGAAAGAAGUAGACGGCGUGAGACGUGCCGAACGGACGACGACGAGGGAGGUAGG
rnacentral:rRNA from 1 species